rnacentral:rRNA from 1 species
AUUGAACGCUGGCGGCAGGCUUAACACAUGCAAGUCGAGCGGAGAGAGGUAGCUUGCUACUGAUCUUAGCGGCGGACGGGUGAGUAAUGCUUAGGAAUCUGCCUAUUAGUGGGGGACAACAUUUCGAAAGGGAUGCUAAUACCGCAUACGUCCUACGGGAGAAAGCAGGGGAUCUUCGGACCUUGCGAUAAUAGAUGAGCCUAAGUCGGAUUAGCUAGUUGGUGGGGUAAAGGCCUACCAAGGCGACGAUCUGUAGCGGGUCUGAGAGGAUGAUCCGCCACACUGGGACUGAGACACGGCCCAGACUCCUACGGGAGGCAGCAGUGGGGAAUAUUGGACAAUGGGCGCAAGCCUGAUCCAGCCAUGCCGCGUGUGUGAAGAAGGCCUUAUGGUUGUAAAGCACUUUAAGCGAGGAGGAGGCUACUUUAGUUAAUACCUAGAGAUAGUGGACGUUACUCGCAGAAUAAGCACCGGCUAACUCUGUGCCAGCCGCCGCCGUAACAC